UGGACAAAUUACUGUAUUCAUGGCGUGAAACAGGGGAUUACACCGUUUUUAAACGAAAAGUGUAUCAAUUAACAUAAUAGACUCCU
rnacentral:pre_miRNA from 1 species